AUUUCUGAAUUAUUCAGUGUUGUCCACGUACUAGUUGUCAUAAACAGACUUUCGAUCUCUUUAUGAUGGCAGUACAGCAGAUCACUUAAGGAUUGCUAAGACAUGAAUUAACGUUUCUAACACUUGACAAAGUUACAACAUCCUACGUUGAAAAUGGACUAGACGAUACUGAUAAUAAUAAUGGUUUUAUGCAAAAUUGCAGUGCAACAGAUCACUCAAGGCUUGCUGAGCAUGAAUUAACAUUUUUAGCGCUUGGAAUAGUUUCAACAUCCUA
rnacentral:lncRNA from 1 species